rnacentral:rRNA from 1 species
GAUGAACGCUGGCGGCGUGCCUAAUACAUGCAAGUCGAGCGAACAGAUGGGGAGCUUGCUCCUCUGACGUUAGCGGCGGACGGGUGAGUAACACGUGGAUAACCUACCUAUAAGACUGGGAUAACUUCGGGAAACCGGAGCUAAUACCGGAUAAUAUAUUGAACCGCAUGGUUCAAUAGUGAAAGACGGUUUUGCUGUCACUUAUAGAUGGAUCCGCGCCGCAUUAGCUAGUUGGUAAGGUAACGGCUUACCAAGGCAACGAUGCGUAGCCGACCUGAGAGGGUGAUCGGCCACACUGGAACUGAGACACGGUCCAGACUCCUACGGGAGGCAGCAGUAGGGAAUCUUCCGCAAUGGGCGAAAGCCUGACGGAGCAACGCCGCGUGAGUGAUGAAGGUCUUCGGAUCGUAAAACUCUGUUAUUAGGGAAGAACAAAUGUGUAAGUAACGAUGCACGUCUUGACGGUACCUAAUCAGAAAGCCACGGCUAACUACGU